GACAGAGGAUGCAAGCGUUAUCCGGAAUGAUUGGGCGUAAAGCGUCUGUAGGUGGCUUUUUAAGUCCGCCGUCAAAUCCCAGGGCUCAACCCUGGACAGGCGGUGGAAACUACCAAGCUGGAGUACGGUAGGGGCAGAGGGAAUUUCCGGUGGAGCGGUGAAAUGCGUAGAGAUGUGGAGGAAUACCGAUGGCGAAGGCAGCCCCCUGGGAUAACACUGACGCUCAUGCACGAAAGCGUGGGGAGCAAACAAGG
rnacentral:rRNA from 1 species